GACGAACGCUGGCGGCGUGCCUAAUACAUGCAAGUCGAACGCAUUGGGGACGGGUGAGUAACACGUGGGUAACCUCCCAUCAGAGGGGAUAACCCUUGGAAAAAGGUGCUAAACCGGUACGUAUGGAUGGACCCGCGGUGCCUUAGCUAGUUGGUGAGGUAACGGCUCACCAAGGCAACGAUGCAUAGCCGACCUGAGAGGGUGCUCGGCCACACUGGGACUGAGACACGGCCCAGACUCCUACGUGAGGCAGCAGUAGGGAAGCUUCGGCAAUGGACGAAAGUCUGACCGAGCAACGCCGCGUGAGUGAAGAAGGUUUUCGGAUCGGAAAGCUCUGUUGUUAGAGAAGCGGUAUCUAACCAGAAAGCCACGGCUAACUACGUGCCAGCAGCCGCGGUAAUAC
rnacentral:rRNA from 1 species